ACCUUGGAGUAAAGUAGCAGCACAUAAUGGUUUGUGGAUAUUGUAAAAGUGCAGGCCAUAUUGUGCUGCCUCAAAAAUACAAGGA
rnacentral:pre_miRNA from 1 species